CAGUGCUCAGCACACUUUGUGUGCUCUACUAAGCAAAGGGACUCUACUUAUCUUCAGGUCCCUCCUCUAGUGUCACAGGAAAACUGGGAGAAGCAUUGAAAUUUCAGGAGUUCCUUUCCCUCGGCACCAUUCUCCAUUUCACUGUAAACGAAAGGAGCAAGCAGAACGGAAUAUUUGUCUUGCCUCUAUCUCCCUACCUCCCUAGAAGACAAAGCAAAUAUAUUCAAAUUUGUUCUAAGUAACAUAUUUUACCCAUUUUUCUACACAGUUAAUAUGCAUAGAGGAAGUGGACGAUUGACAUCUUCAUGAUGCUGAGUCUUUCAAACCAUGGACAUGGCUCCUCUGGAACACACUACCUGCUUCC
rnacentral:lncRNA from 1 species